UACGGAGGGUGCAAGCGUUGUCCGGAUUUAUUGGGUUUAAAGGGUGCGUAGGCGGCUAAUUAAGUCAGCGGUGAAAUUCCACAGCUCAACUGUGUGAACUGCCAUUGAUACUGGUUGGCUUGAGUACAGAUGAGGUAGGCGGAAUUGACAGUGUAGCGGUGAAAUGCUUAGAUAUUGUCAAGAACACCUAUUGCGAAGGCAGCUUACUAAACUGUAACUGACGCUGAGGCACGAAAGCGUGGGGAGCGAACAGG
rnacentral:rRNA from 1 species